UACGUAGGGUGCAAGCGUUAAUCGGAAUUACUGGGCGUAAAGCGUGCGCAGGCGGUGAUGUAAGACAGAUGUGAAAUCCCCGGGCUCAACCUGGGAACUGCAUUUGUGACUGCAUCGCUGGAGUACGGCAGAGGGGGAUGGAAUUCCGCGUGUAGCAGUGAAAUGCGUAGAUAUGCGGAGGAACGCCGAUGGCGAAGGCAGCCUCCUGGGCCAGCACUGACGCUCAUGCACGAAAGCGUGGGGAGCAAACAGG
rnacentral:rRNA from 1 species